rnacentral:rRNA from 1 species
GGAUAGUGUCUGGAAACGGACAGUAAUACCGCAUAAAAUAUAUUUGCCGCAUGACAGAUAUAUCAAAACUGAGGUGCCGAGGGAAGGGCUCGCGUUGGAUUAGAUAGUUGGUGGGGUAACGGCCUACCAAGUCAACGAUCCAUAGCCGGACUGAGAGGUUGAACGGCCACAUUGGGACUGAGACACGGCCCAGACUCCUACGGGAGGCAGCAGUGGGGAAUAUUGCACAAUGGGGGGAACCCUGAUGCAGCAACGCCGCGUGAAGGAAGACGGUUUUCGGAUUGUAAACUUCUGUUCUUAGUGAAGAAGAAUGACGGUAGCUAAGGAGCAAGCCACGGCUAACUACGUGCCAGCAGCCGCGGUAAUACGUAGGUGGCAAGCGUUGUCCGGAAUUACUGGGUGUAAAGGGAGCGCAGGCGGGAAGCCAAGUCAGCUGUGAAAACUACGGGCUUAACUUGUAGACUGCAGUUGAAACUGGUUUUCUUGAGUGAAGUAGAGGUUGGCGGAAUUCCGAGUGUAGCGGUGAAAUGCGUAGAUAUUCGGAGGAACACCGGUGGCGAAGGCGGCCAACUGGGCUUUAACUGACGCUGAGGCUCGAAAGUGUGGGGAGCAAACAGGAUUAGAUACCCUGGUAGUCCACACUGUAAACG